CCUGUCGCAACCCUGGUCCUUUCCGCAGGUUCCGAGAUCAUGGCACCGCCCAGUGGGCGGGCCCUCAAGCUGAGGGAGAGGGGGUCUGCUGCCGGAAAGAGGCCAGAGCCUGUGGGCACCGGAGAGGUAUACUGGAAUCUGAUGCUAGUUAUACAUCUCUAAACUGUGAAGAGGAUGGUUUUCCAUCUGUACCAGUUCUGGGCCUGCUUCUUGAAUCCACACCUCUGCUCCACAUCACUGGCCAGCCAAUACCUGCAAGUUAUAUUCUCUGACUUUCCCGCUCCAGGGACUUACUUCACCAAUCUUAUCCAAGGGAGGACCCAAAACCUUCCUGUGGGAAAGAGCCUCUUCUCACAUCUCUGUUGAGAUCUGAGGGCCACUUGCUAAAAUAUGCAGGACCCGGUGCCUCUCAGCAAUACAGUCCCAGUGGAUGGGGGAGCGAGGUGGAAGGGAGCCACCAUCACCUGCCAACGGAAAGGGAAGAGAGGGGAGGAGCUGGAACAAUCUGUGUGGGUUUGGGACAGUGAUUUUUGAGUGAUCAGAUGGUCUCCAGCUCCCUGUUAAGUGUCUGCACCAACUUGUGUUGAUUCCCAAACGUACCUCACUACCGUUCAAGGAGAAGUCCUUUCCCACCACAGCCGGGCUGUUCUGCUGACCCUCAACCCUCUCCACACUCCUGCUGAGCUGACUCAUCCUUCAGGGCCUGAUUGCCACCGCCGCUCCCGCCAGGCACAGCUGUUGUUGGCCACACCUGCAGCCAUGCCUCUGGGGUCCUGGGCAAUGCCACUGCCCCUGCUUGAUUGCAGGCCACAGCAUGCACAGGAGGCUAUCGCUUCUUGGGGGAAUACCUGAACACCGCAAGCAUGCUUUGUCAACGUCUUCCCCUAUUUUGAUCUGGUGCCUGGACCUUCCUUCCAUGCCUCCCCCUCCCACACCCAGGCCCGGCAGCACUCUGAUCCAGGAGCCUCCCUCUGUGUGACAGGGAUAACCUGGAUGCUCACAGACCAUGUCAGCCUGCGGGAACGAAAGAGACCACGAUAUCAUUUGGACACAUAUGUUCCUAAUUCAAUACUGCGUCAUCCUAACCGAGGUAAACUGCAAGGCUCAGAAUCGUCACAAGCUCGCUGUGCCCUUGGCAUCUGGGGGAGUCCCAGCAUUGCCCCAUGCAUGCUUCUGCAGCGGUCAGAUCUGUUGCUUUUGCUGCCUCCUCCGCUCUGCCCUGGACAUCAGUGGGGCACAUGUUCCCGUGGCAGGGCUUGCCCCUGAACGUCUCUCAAUAGUCUGUCGGACUGCUGGUCAGUGCGUGUGCCCCGCAUACUACCUCUUGCCUCCAUGGGUUCCUUUCCCUCUUUCUUCUCCCCCAACCCCGAGUUGUAACAGAGAACACACAGCUGCCCUGCCGGAUUCUACAUCCCGCAGACUUCCCACAGAUAAGUAUGGCUAUGUAGCUGUGGUUUGUUGUCAAUAGGAGGUGAGCAGAAGCGAUGUGGCAGCUUCCUUGGCUUACCCCUGGGGCUGUGGACUCAGAAAUGGGAGCCUCAUUUUGAGAAUAGUAGCAUCAAGCCACCAACCUGGGUCCCAGAUGACUCUUUGGGACAGAGCUGGCCCUGCCAGCUGUGAACUACUCAUAUCUAGACUUUUCAUGUGAGAAAAAUAAACUUGCAUCCCAUUUAAGUUAGCCUGUAUCCUAAGUAAUAGAGUAUUGACUCAAGAACAGUCAAUCUGCAGGCGUCCAGUCUAAUUUAGAUCCUCUUACACCCCUUUAUGGCACCCUGUACUUCUCCUUCAAAGCACGUAUCACAACUUGCAAUUAAAUAAUUAUUUGGGUAA